UCAAGUGAAUUCGAUUCGCAG
rnacentral:piRNA from 1 species